rnacentral:rRNA from 1 species
GACAGAGGGUGCAAACGUUGUUCGGAAUUACUGGGCGUAAAGCGCGUGUAGGCUACUCAGAAAGUCGGAUGUGAAAGCCCUGGGCUUAACCUAGGAAGUGCAUUCGAAACUUCUGAGCUUGAGUUCUGGAGAGGAAGGCGGAAUUCUCGGUGUAGAGGUGAAAUUCGUAGAUAUCGAGAGGAACACCGGUGGCGAAGGCGGCCUUCUGGACAGUGACUGACGCUGAGACGCGAAAGCGUGGGGAGCAAACAGG